GGUCGAACUCGAGCACAGCACAACCUGGUGUCGUUAGUUGAGUUUGCAAUAGCCCUUAUGUCUCUGUUGGAUCAAAUCAACAGGGAGUCCUUUCAACGUUUCAGGCUGCGAGUCGGUAUCAACCACGGCCCAGUGAUUGCCGGAGUCGUUGGUGCCCAGAAACCACAAUACGACAUUUGGGGCAACACCGUUAACGUCGCCAGUAGAAUGGAUAGUUGUGGCGUCACCGGUCGGAUACAGGUCACUGAGGAAACCACGAGAGUACUGGUGGAUUGUGGGUACGAAUGUGAAUGUCGCGGUUUGGUUGAAGUGAAAGGAAAAGGAAAGCUCACCACUUUUCUCGUGAAAACUCAGUUUGAUGACGACGUUCCCACGAGACUUUUAUAAUCAACAAAAUCUGUAUUAAAUCUUAUUAUAUAUAUAUAUGUGUGUGUGUAUAUGUGUGUGUGUGUGUGUGUGUGUGUAGAGAUAUUCCAAUUGGAUAAGCCUCAGUCAAAAAUGGAUCUCGACAGCUUACUUGUGAAUCAAAUGUAAUAUCGGAGCUCCAAGGAUUGGGUUGACACGAGAGAGUGAAAAAUAUCAAAUAAAUAUCCAAGGCAAAUUGAUUUUUUUUCUUUUCUCAGAUACGUCAGGAGGUUUAACAAUAAGCACGAGACUCAAAAGCCUUGUUCGAAUAAGAUGUUUUUAAACUGAAAGCAGGAGAAAGCUUUUUGAUUGAAAAUAGUUGUUUCGAUGGAUCGGAUGGAAAAGUAACGUGAUUAUAAGAGGUAAAACUUAAACUCUACAAUUCGCGUUCACUCAUAUCAGAAGUACUGUGUUCUCUUUCAUAAUCCUGCUAUCAAAAUAAAAACAAAAACGUCUAAGCCUUUAACAAUUUUACAUCUUGUAUGGUUGAACCGUCGGUGGCGAGGUCCUGUAUGACGUCAUUAGAUUAUUGACCAUAUAUAUGUACAGUCCCACUUCUUCAUGAGAAUACCAUGACUUCACUGCCUAUAUAAAUACACCACCACCACUCCCCUGUUCAUCCAUACAAAUACUGGAGCCCUGCUCCUCCUCCUUAUAAAGGUUAUGGUCCCGAUCCUCCAUAUAAAGACCCCGAUUCAAUUUCCUGCUCCUCCUUAUAAAAAUUACGGUCCCGCUCAUCCUAUAUAAAAGAUAACGACCUCACUUCUCUGCUCCUCCUUAUAAAGAUUAUGGUCCCGCUCCUCCAUAUAAAGACCCCGAUUCCACUUUCCUGCUCCUCCUUAUAAAAAUUACGGUCCCGCUCAUUCUAUAUAAAAGAUAACGACCUCACUUCUCUGCUCCUCCUUAUAAAGAUUAUGGUCCCGCUCCUCCUUAUAAAACCGCGACAUCGCUCCUCCAAAUAUAGCCCUUGAUCUAUCUCCUCCAUAUAAAGUCUAUGGCUUUGCUCCCCUCCCCCCAAUAUAAAUAUCGGGUUAAAAUAACUUGAAUUUGCCAUAUCUAUUAAAUCAAAGAACAACAGGAUAGUUUAUAAUGAUAACAAUAAAACCUUGUUAUUUCAAGUGAGCCCAAAAAGCCUAAUGUUAAUGACAUCUAGUAAGUAAAGCUUAACUUAUUCUCUGUGAUUAGAACUGAGUUCGACUUUUCUUGAGUGUUGUCUGAUCUUUCUUGUGUUAUCUGGUUUUGUCAUCUUGUAUUCUUUACUUGUUCUCUGUGAUUAGAACUGAGUUCGACUUUUCUUGAGUGUUGUCUGAUUUUUCUUGUGUUAUCUGGUCUCGUCAUCUUGUGUUCUUUACUUGUUCUCUGUGAUUAGAACUGAGUUCGACUUUUAUUGAGUGUUGUCUGAUCUUUCUUGUGUUAUCUGGUCUUGUCAUCUUGUAUUCUUUACUUAUUCUCUGUGAUUAGAACUGAGUUCGACUUUUCUUGAGUGUUGUCUGAUCUUUCUUGUGUUAUCUGGUCUUGUCAUCUUGUGUUCUUUACUUGUUCUCUGUGAUUAGAACUGAGUUCGACUUUUAUUGAGUGGUGUCUGAUUUUUCUUGUGUUAUCUGGUCUUGUCAUCUUGUGUUCUUUACUUGUUCUCUGUGAUUAGAACUGAGUUCGACUUUUAUUGAGUGGUGUCUGAUUUUUCUUGUGUUAUCUGGUCUUGUCGUCUUGUGUUCUAUACUUGUUCUCUGUGAUUAGAACUGAGUUCGAUUUUUCUUGAGUGUUUGAUCUUUCUUGUGUUAUCUGGUCUUGUGUUCUAUACUUGUUCUCUGUGAUUAAAACUGAGUUCGACUUUUCUUGAGUGUUUGAUCUUUCUUGUGUUAUCUGGUCUUGUCAUCUUGUGUUCUAUACUUGUUCUCGGCCAAAACAGACAAAGGUUUCUCCCUGUUUUUUAAACCUUAUAGAAGUGAGCUGGAAAUUUGUUUGUUUUAUCACAAUAUUUUCUUAAAACAUAUUUAAGAGUACCAAACUAUGACUGAAGAGCGUUAAAAACAUUAUUGUUCCUUUCGUUCCUCCGUACUUCAGAAGUAAUAUGUAACUGUUUUCUUAUUUUAUGAAACUACUCAGGUUCGGACAAGUCGUGUUUUCUACAGCUUGAUUCUUGGGAAAGAGUAACAGUAAGAAUUAGAAGCUGAGGCAAAAUGACACCAUAAAAAAACUAAAUAGACGUCUAUGUUGAUAUCUACUCAACUAUAUUCUACUUCUCUUUGGGGUUAUGGGUGCGUUAUAAGAGUAGCGGUCAAAUCACACUCUUCCAUUAGAGUAACCCAAGAGUUAGUGGUGGAUGCUGUUAACUAGCUACCUUGUCUCUGGUCUAUAAUUUCAAAAUUAAAGACUAAAAUAAGAAACCCUAUAAUCCAGAAAGGUCAACCUUUCUUCCCACAUUCUAUUAAACUGAAUGUUUAAACAACCAACUAACUUGAAAGAUGUAUCUCUUCGACUCUAACCAAAGUAACUGAAUGUUUAAACACUCAACUAACUUGAAAGAUGUAUCUCUUCAACUCUAACCAAAGUAACUGAAUGUUUAAACAACCAAGUAACUUGAAAGAUGUAUCUCUUCGACUCUAACCAAAGUAACUGAAUGUUUAAACAACCAACUGACUUGCAGAAUGUAUCUCUUCAACUCUAACCAAAGUAACUGAAUGUUUAAACACUCAACUAACUUGAAAGAUGUAUCUCUUCGACUCUAACCAAAGAACUGAAUGUUUAAACAACCAACUGACUUUAAAGAUGUAUCUCUUCAACUCUAACCAAAGUAACUGAAUGUUUAAACACUCAACUGACUUGAAAGAUGUAUCUCUUCAACUCUAACCAAAGAAACUGAAUGUUUAAACAACCAACUAACUUGCAGGAUGUAUCUCUUCGACUCUAACCAAAGUAACUGAAUGUUUAAACAACCAACUGACUUGCAGAAUGUAUCUCUUCAACUCUAACCAAAGUAACUGAAUGUUUAAACAACCAACUGACUUGAAAGAUGUAUCUCUUCAACUCUAACCAAAGUAACUGAAUGUUUAAACAAC
rnacentral:lncRNA from 1 species